AUUUAAAAUGCAAAUAAGACACAAGUCUUUUGUGAAGAUGAUAGGAUUUCAGUGCUUUAGAUAAACUACGAAUAAACCAAGUGGCUACUGUAGGUGGGACAAGGUGCAUGGUGGUACACAGGUAAGGGGGUAACUAUUUGCAAAGUGUACACAGAAUCAUAUGCAAAUAUAUAUUUGUUAAUGGCUCUCAUUUGUAGGUUUGUGACUCGCUUCAUUGAGCUGGAGGGCUUGACCUGUCUGCUAAAUUUCCUCCGGAGCAUGGACCACGCCACCUGUGAGAGCCGCAUCCACACCUCACUCAUCGGCUGCAUCAAAGCAUUGAUGAACAACUCCCAGGGGCGGGCACAUGUGCUGGCACAGCCUGAGGCCAUUAGUACCAUAGCCCAGAGCCUACGCACAGAGAACAGCAAGACCAAGGUGGCUGUGCUGGAGAUCCUGGGUGCUGUGUGCCUCGUGCCUGGCGGCCACAAGAAGGUGCUGCAAGCCAUGCUGCACUACCAGGUGUAUGCAGCAGAGCGAACCCGCUUCCAGGUGAGGGGCCUGGCUGGAGGCGGGAUGCCAGCUGGGUGGGGCAGAGGAUGUCACAUGUGAGUGAGAGCCUGAAGAUUCUUUGCAAAAGAAACUAGGGGAAAAGGAAGGUAAUGUGGUCUGCAUGCCUGCUCCUGGAGGGUAACAGGUGAAGAGUACUGGGACCUGGAAGGCUUGCAUAAAAACACAUGCAGGGCCUUAAGAGUUAUGAGUUUGGCUAGGAAAUGGACUUGUCCUCCUUAUUAGUCAGUGGGUUCCUGGAAGCUGGAAUAUUGGCCUGUAUUAUUUUUGUGGCUCUGCAUCUCCAACCUCAACACCUGGCUCAUGAUAGGGGCUCAGUCAAGAAUUAUUGAAUUGAGUUCAAUUGCUGAGAUUGAGAUUUUAGGUCCUAUACUUGGGCCAGUGCCUAAUGUGGGACACUGGGACCAUCCCUGGGAGCUUCAGCCAUGCUAUUCUCUUUUCUUUCCCUGACCUGCCCAGAAAAGUAUCAAUGAGAUGAACAGUAAAUAUGAAGUGUCUUAGCACAGUGCCUGGCACAGAGUAAGUCCAUAGAGACGUGAACUGAUGUUACAAACCCCAUGGUUUAUUGCCAAAAACUGGGUCCUGACUCUUUGCAGAAGAUGGAAAAGAGAUAAAAGCAGUGUCCAUACCAUAAAAGAGCUAGGCAGGGAAUACAUAUGAGCUGUAAACAGCUGGAGCACGAUGAUAAAGCAGCACUGAAGCACUGCUCAACCAUGUAGACCAAGCGCCAAAGGCUGAGUGGAGAGGAAGUGAGGCAGCACUGCCACUGAGGUGAGAGGCAAGGGAAUUCUCCAGGCAGAGGUGAGGUUUGGGGCAGCUCAGAGUAAAUUGGACAGACCUGAUUGGGUGGAGAGAGCAGAUGGGGCAUUCUAGGUAGUGGAGGUGACAGGAGUAAAGGUGCAAAGGCCACACCUGUUGGGGACUCAGCCCUCUCCUCCUGCUCUGUCCUGCAUUUCCACCUAGACCCUGCUGAAUGAGCUAGACCGAAGUCUGGGCCGGUACCGGGAUGAAGUGAAUCUG
rnacentral:sRNA from 1 species